UAUAGGCGGCCUCUUAAUUAA
ensembl:piRNA 21ur-841 ncRNA